AGAACGAACGCUGGCGGCAUGCCUAACACAUGCAAGUCGAACGAGACCUUCGGGUCUAGUGGCGCACGGGUGCGUAACGCGUGGGAAUCUACCCUUGGGUUCGGAAUAACAGUUGGAAACGACUGCUAAUGCCGGAUGAUGUCGCAAGACCAAAGAUUUAUCGCCCAAGGAUGAGCCCGCGUAGGAUUAGCUAGUUGGUGAGGUAAAGGCUCACCAAGGCGACGAUCCUUAGCUGGUCUGAGAGGAUGAUCAGCCACACUGGGACUGAGACACGGCCCAGACUCCUACGGGAGGCAGCAGUGGGGAAUAUUGGACAAUGGGCAAAGCCUGAUCCAGCAAUGCCGCGUGAGUGAUGAAGGCCUUAGGGUUGUAAAGCUCUUUUACCGGGAUGAUAAUGACAGUACCGGAGAAUAAGCUCCGGCUAACGUCCGUGCCUAGCACGCCGC
rnacentral:rRNA from 1 species